rnacentral:rRNA from 1 species
UACGGGUAGUGCGAGUGUUAUUCCCCUUAACUGGGCGUAAAGGGUGUGUAGGUGGUAUAAUAAAUUGGAAAUUAAAUCAUACUAUGGUAUAGAGAUUUCUAAUAUUAUUAUACUAGAGUAUUAUGGAAGAUAGUGGAACUUCUAUUAUUAGAUUUGAAAUGCGUAGAAACUAGAAGGAACACCAAUGGCGGAGGCAACUAUCUACUAAAUACUGACGCUAAGACACGAAGGCAUGGGGAGCAAAUGGG